rnacentral:rRNA from 1 species
UACGGGAGGCAGCAGUGGGGAAUAUUGCACAAUGGGCGAAAGCCUGAUGCAGCUAUGCCGCGUGUAUGAAGAAGGCCUUAGGGUUGUAAAGUACUUUCAUCGGGGAGGAAAAAACAAAACUAAUAAUUUUAUUUCUUGACGUUACCCGAAAAAGAAGCACCGGCUAACUCCGUGCCAGCAGCCGCGGUAAUACGGAGGAUGCUAGCGUUAAUCAGAAUUACUGGGCGUAAAGAGCACGUAGGUGGUUUUUUAAGUCAGAUGUGAAAUCCCUGGGCUUAACCUAGGAACUGCAUUUUGAAACUGAAAUACUAGAGUAUCGUAGAGGGAGGUAGAAUUCUAGGUGUAGCGGUGAAAUGCGUAGAUAUCUGGAGGAAUACCUGUGGCGAAAGCGGCCUCCUAAACGAAUACUGACACUGAGGUGCGAAAGCGUGGGGAGCAAACAGGGAUUAGAUACC